rnacentral:rRNA from 1 species
AGUAAUACAUCGGAACGUGUCUUCUAGUGGGGGAUAGCUGCCCGAAAGGGCAGCUAAUACCGCAUGAGACCUGAGGGUGAAAGCGGGGGAUCGCAAGACCUCGCGCUGGAAGAGCGGCCGAUGUCCGAUUAGCUAGUUGGUGAGGUAAAGGCUCACCAAGGCGACGAUCGGUAGCUGGUCUGAGAGGACGACCAGCCACACUGGGACUGAGACACGGCCCAG